rnacentral:rRNA from 1 species
GGUAGUAAAUUCAAAACCAAUAUGAAAUGGCGGUCUUCAUUAAAUAGAGAAACUCGCUUCCUAAUCGUAAACACCCGAUAAAUUUAACUUUAAUCAUUAGUUUAUAUACCGCCGUUUAGAAUUUAAAAACACAACAAUCCUAAAUAUAUAAAUAUAAAAAAUCAGGUCAAGGUGUAACCCAUAUUAAAGGAGAAGUAAGUUACAUUAAAAACAAUUUAAGGAAAAAAUACAAAAACAAACAAGAAAAAGAAUUUAUUUGUAAGAGUUAAUCAAAAAUUAACCCAGAACCAUACUAUGAAGAUGC